AAACACUCCCUGACAAGCCAAAGUGCAUUCCCCUGUGAGCUGCUUCAGUAUUUCCACUAUCGCUUUGAGCCCUGAGUGUUGGUUUUAUACGUGUUCAAGAUUCUGGAACAGCUGCCAAUUGGACAAAUACACUUUUCAAACUACUGUGCCGAGCUGUACUGCGCUAGCCAGGUUACGUAAUCCACCAUCAUUUCCGAAGCCAAUCUGUCAAGGACAAUGUGAAAAUAAAAUAUCCAAAUCAGCGAGGUACAGCGGCGAUUGGCACGAUAUCGGCCCAGUCAGCAGACAGUACACAACGAAGAGCGGUUCCCUACUUCACUGUCAUUCUCCACUCAGCUCAGCAGCUGCCAAGCAACCAGGCUACAUACAGUACACUACAAACCAGGAGAUGCAAGACCACCAACACCAGGAACAUCUGGGACCAGGCUACAUAAACACACCUUUAGAUCUGUAGGAAUGCUGUGAUGUCGAUGGGUGUAGAGGUGUCUGAUUGGCCCAUGUCUUUCACCAGUCACCUACUGACAACGCCUGGUAUUGUUGAAGAUUUGUGAAAAUGUGCCUGUAUGUGAGUACGUACAGUGUCUGUUAGUAUGUUAUAUGCUUGUCUUCGUGUGUAAAGCAUGAAGUGUGUGUGUUGCCACAAUCAGGCAUAAAGAGCAUUGCUUUGUAGUACAACGUAGUAGCCUACAUCAGGCAAUUAAGAGUCUACCUGCUUUAACUACAGGCAAAAUAAACUAAAUCUAAUGCAAAUUGAUGCAAGCUUUUCCUAGCUGAUAUAGGAAACUUGGCAACUGCCCAGUAUGAAAACUGGUUCAGAUGUGUGUGCAUGGAUCUGACACCAGAGGUUGCCUGGGGCAACAUUAGGUAUAAAUAACUAAGGUCAGACAAGAAAAAAAAUGAUUUUCCUCCUAGGCAAUGAGAUAAUUAGUUGUCAAGCUGCAUUAUGGGUAAUUAAUGUGGAAAAGUUUUAUUACAUAUGAAACAAACCAACACCAUAACAACAUGUUAAUUGUUAUACUUCCAACUGUUGCAAUGAAUCAGACUAACAUGGAUAGCAUGUUUGACUGAAUCAAAGUAAACCUGAAUUAAAAAGUAAUUAAGAGUGAAUGUAAUUAUUAAUUAAUAUGCUGUGGUCACAACAAAAGGUUGUUUUCAACAAGGUUGAUAUAGUUUGUCUUGUCUGUUGGACUGAAUAAAAAGGAAAGCUCAAUCGCUCUAUUUGCUGACCUACAGUUCACUGCUUAUUAGUUUACCUUGAGCCUUUCUCUAGACCAAUGACUGUUUAAAUGAAUGGACAAAGCCAUUGAUCAAAUGACACUAUUAAUUCUUAUGUGAAGACUCAAUAGCGCAUUGAAGCCAAAUGAAGUCGUUUAAGAUGGAGAGUAAUGGAGACAUUCCUUUACCUAACAUGC
ensembl:lncRNA